GCCGACUGCAAUAUAUGUAAAUGAGAAAACUAAGUCAGUAGGAUACUUUUUAAGGUUUCCUGGUAAGUAACAUACAGAUGGAAGAAUGGGCAGGUUGAGCAACGGUACAAAACGGCUAAUUUAUCUACGGUUUGAAAGGGCUUGUGACAGUACGUUUUAUUAGUAUAAUCUGUAGCUUUUGACUUCAGAGCGUGACACUCACAAUCCUAAUAAGUUUUGUGAAUACUGAGAUUAGUAGUUGCAUGCUUUAAAAUACAUCUGAGUCAGAAAAGACUUGCCUUCCCCGUUAACCUGAAUAGGGAAAACCUUAUCCGAUUACCCAUUUUACCGUUUCAUGCUUAAAAACGCACAUUGAUUGACCUUUGACUCGUUUGGUUUUGGCUAUAUUUUACAGUUUAUUUGAAGAUGGAAGAUGAGAAGUCAGAGCCAAUAGGGUAACGGGCUAAUCUGGUCUUUCUUGUCAAAUAUUGUCACUACACUUCACAUAUGGGAGGAGAUAGCUUUGGGGCAAUAUAGGCAGCUACCCCACCAUGUUUACUCGUGAAACUUUUUGAGCCAGUUGAGAUUAAAAACAUCCCAAAUAAAACCAAGUAAAUGGCAGAAUGGCACACCGAAUCCACCUUUCUGGAAGUGAAUCGAAGUUGACACCUACCAAUAUGAUUCUGAGCUUAAAGCGUGAUGGUUAGUGCAGAUAUUACCUUAGGAAGUGCCUCGCUGAUGAUAUUUGGUAUAGGCAUUUCAAGCAGGAUAGUUUCAUUUAUAGCUUUGGCAGCCUUGAAAAUUUGGUGGACCAACUUUGCCUGAUUGAGCAACUUUUUCCUCUCGCCAUCGGAAAGUCCACCUAUGGGUACUUGUGGUGUAGGAAGCCACCAUGUUUUGCUUUCUUCUAUACCCCUGUUCUUUCCUUUUGCAUCUUCAUACCAAAAUUCCAUGUUUGUCAUAGCAUCUAGAGUUUCCUGUCAGUGUGUUUUAAGCCAACUCAAUAAUUUGAUGAACAAAAGUAUUCAAGUCAUAUGAUAAUAAUACAGGUGUUGAAAUAA